UACAGAGGUCUCAAGCGUUGUUCGGAUUCAUUGGGCGUAAAGGGUGCGUAGGCGGCGCGGUAAGUCGGGUGUGAAAUCUCGGAGCUUAACUCCGAAACUGCAUUCGAUACUGCGGGUCUCGAGUCCGGGAGAGGUGAGUGGAAUUCCUAGUGUAGAGGUGAAAUUCGUAGAUAUUAGGAAGAACACCAGUGGCGAAGGCGGCUCACUGGCCCGGUACUGACGCUGAGGCGCGAAAGCGUGGGGAGCAAACAGG
rnacentral:rRNA from 1 species